UGAAAUUAGGACGGAAAUUACAC
rnacentral:miRNA from 1 species